AGUGAACGCUGGCGGUAGGCCUAACACAUGCAAGUCGAACGGCAGCACAGUAAGAGCUUGCUCUUACGGGUGGCGAGUGGCGGACGGGUGAGGAAUACAUCGGAAUCUACUUUUUCGUGGGGGAUAACGUAGGGAAACUUACCCUAAUACCGCAUACGACCUACGGGUGAAAGCAGGGGAUCUUCGGACCUUGCGCGAUUGAAUGAGCCGAUGUCGGAUUAGCUAGUUGGCGGGGUAAAGGCCCACCAAGGCGACGAUCCGUAGCUGGUCUGAGAGGAUGAUCAGCCACGCUGGAACUGAGACACGGUCCAGACUCCUACGGGAGGCAGCAGUGGGGAAUAUUGGACAAUGGGCGCAAGCCUGAUCCAGCCAUACCGCGUGGGUGAAGAAGGCCUUCGGGUUGUAAAGCCCUUUUGUUGGGAAAGAAAAGCAGCAGGUUAAUACCCCGCUGUUCUGACGGUACCCAAAGAAUAAGCACCGGCUAACUUCGUG
rnacentral:rRNA from 1 species